UCAAAAGAUCUACGAAGAGAUCACAUGUUUUAGCAUUUGAAUGAAACUUAACUUUUACUUCAUAACAAACCUUUUUUGUUAUCUUCCUCGAGUCCUUAGUCUCUACACUAGUCAUGUGAAAUUGUGAAUGUUUACAGUAAUCUUGAUUCUUGAAUACACACUGACUUCUCCGUUUCAUAAGGUUACUCCGUUUCUUUCUGUAUAGGAUCCAAUGGGGUCGAUCUGGGGUCCAAUUGGGCUUUGAUUUGGAAGGAACAGAGGUCGGGUUUAUUAGUUGGAACGGACCGGUACGGUGGAUUAAAAAAAAAUCCGGUUCUUCUCUCCGUCUAUCUCCAAGUCGCCGCCGAUUCUCUAACCGGUGCUAGAUCUCAGCUCCACCGUCGUUUGGAUUGGGUUAGAUGCCUCGGAAGGCUAUCAGGGAGAAGAAGAUUGUCAAAGUAUCUACCUUUAGCCUUUUGCUUCAACGGCUAGACGUAAAUUGCCUCAUCCGGAUAUGUCUUUUGGACUGGGAUUUGAGCGGCUUUUUGGAUUUGAUAUUGAAUCAAACAAAGGUGGCAACUGUAGUCAAAGUAGCAGAUGAUGAGGAUGAAGCAUUAUUUGCUCUUGUCACUGCUCUUAACUUGGCAAGUCAUGUAAAAACUCAUCUUUGUUACGGGACUUUACUUAUAUUUUUUUAUCUAUGCUUAAUGAUCGAAUUGAAUGUUUGAAGGUGUUUGUUCGUAUUUGGUUUUAUAACUUUACUGUAUGCAUUCUAUUAACCACUGUAUAUGUAUAACCAGAGAAGACUAUAGUGAGUGAUCUAGAACUACUCUUGGAGAAAAAGGAGAAAGAUGUUGGUUUACUCGACGAAGUCUCAUGGGCCACUGAAGACGAGGUAUGGUCUUUUGAAGAUAAACUCAGGUAUGUUCUUUACUUAUGACUUAUGAGAAAUGUUAAUUUAACAGUUUGAAGUUUCGGUUUAUAGCCUACAGAAGAGCUUCGAGGGUCAUUCCGCUUCAACUCACCAAGAUUUACAAGUUGAAGCAUCCCAAUCAGAGAGAACCUUGUUAUAUUGAAAAGGAAAAGGAGGAAACAAUAUUCCUUAAGCCUGAAGAUCAAAAUUAUUCUCGAGCUUAGCUCUUGGUCCUUCGCAUUCUCUAUGCACUCGCAGCUAGUUACAUCUCAAGAGGCAAGU